AUUUAUUUUGAAAAGGCUGUUGAAUAUAAGCUAGGAAUGGUGGUACAUGUAUAUAUUCCCAGCACUCAAGAGGCUGAGGCAGGAGGAUCAAUUCAAGUUCAAGGCCAGCCUGGGGUACAAAGUGAGAUUCUGUCUAUGAGUAAAAAGGGAAACUACUGUGGUUGAUAUUUUCUUUAAGAACUCUAAGAACUGUGAGGUUUCGUUUUUCUUGUUUGGUUAUACUUUGUACGAAGUGGUCUGCUAUCCUGUGCUUCCCUGGCUUUCAACUGUUGGCAUUUUUAAUAAAGGAAAAAAGCAUUGUGGAAUAUUUUUAAAAUGAAUAAGCACAUGUAAAGAAUUACAUGGGCUUUGCAAACAGAUAAAAGGGCAAAAAAAAUGGGCCAAUUUCAGGGUUCUCAGUCCCUGUAACAUCGCUUUAAUCAUUGCGUUUGUCUUUUCUUCGAAAGGGAAUGCUGUGCUAAUGACUCAGCCUUGUAUCUUUCCCUGUAACGCUAGAAAUCAAUCAGAAUGCCUCAUUAGUCUCGGGGAAACCACAGCCUCAGAAUGUUUAUAUAACAAUUUAAUAAAGCGGAAAUGCUUGGUGAUAGUUUUAAUUCACUGUUUAGUAUUUAAAAGAAGCCUGUGGUUGUCCUGUGACUUGGGUAAUUGUUGUUUGCUUAUAUGCUAUAAGAAACAAUGUGUUGCCUUUAUUAGUGGACAAUCUAAAUUACUACCAUCAGGAGCUGAUAACCAGAAGUUCCCAAUUUCUGUUACUGUUUUCAGGAGGUGACUAGAAUUUCAUUACAAGUAAACUCAGCCUUAACUUUGAGCACAUCUUUUUCUCUGUAACUGAGCUGCCAGGGGUCAUUUCACACCACUCUAGCUUCUUGUCAUAGUUGUGGGUCAGCAGGAAAAGCAAAGAGAGAGAGAAUUAUUGGUGUGUGUGUGUGUGUGUGUGUGUGUGUGUGUGUGUAUGAAUACAUAAAUGCAAUCUGCUCAGUCUGUUACACUUCUCUUCUGAGCAGUUUACGGAAAGAUGUCUUUUUUGGAUUGGAUAUUAGCUAGGAAAUGUUGGUUUUAGCUUUCAAAACCAUAGAGAAAGUAAAACCACCAAUUUUUAUUGAAACUGCAGAGAAUUCUUACACAGUGCUUCACAUCAUGUAUAUUUCUUUCAUGUGUUUAAUAAUCUAAAGACAUCAUUUGCAUGACUAUGAAUGGAUGCCAGAGCUGCUGUGUGGGGCUCUUUCUCAAGGCUGAGCUCUGGAAGUAAAUGGAAGAAGCCACAGACAGUCCUAACUAGAAGUAGGAGUGUGUCUGCUUCAUUCUUAAGAUUAACACACAGUCUUCUAUAUUUGUAUUUGUGGUUAUUGAGGAAUUAUAAAUACUUGUAAGUGCUUCCUAUUGAAAUGAUGGGUUGCAUGUGGAAGUCACAUUUCCUUUUUAUCAUGAGAGUGAAGGGAUUCAUGUGAGUGGGCUAUUGUGCACACUGACACCUCACUUCCGUGAUCAGUUUUCCUGCUCAGACUGCAGACUGUGACUCUGCAUUGCUUCAGUUUCCUAGGACUACUAACAAACUACCAGAAGCUAGAUGCCUUGGAACACCCGAAAGUUUUCAGCCUCUGUUUCUAGAAUGAAGACUAGAAACCCAAAAUAAAUGUGUAAGCAGGUCAUGAUUUCUGAGACACCCUAAGGUCCCAUUUCUUGCCUUUUCCAGCCUCUGAUGUCCCUGAACUUGUGGCUACAGCUUCUGUCCUGUGUCUCGUGGUCACCUAGUCACAGAGUCACAUGUUUCCUCCCGUCUCUACAUUUCCCCUGCCCUCUGUUAUCACAGGUUCCAUGUGAUAGUAGUUGGGAUCCACUAGAGUUUAGAAUACCUCCUCUUAAAGUCUUCAGUUACCUCUGUUCUUCUAGAAACUACCUUCUAAAGUUCCACGGAUUCAAAAUUAAUAUUUUGUGGCAGCUGCAUUUUGGCUUGCAAUCAUAUUUGAAUUUGUCUAGCAGCAUCGAAAUGCCUUUCUCUGUCAAUUCUCUCUAUUUCCAACAUAUGCGAUAAAUUUAAAAAUGUGUUCAGUUUUAUUCAGAGAAAACUAAGAAUGUUAAGAUGACAGUAUUACACAUUCUUGAGACAUAAUGCGUGAACUAAGCACUCGGGAACUAACAGAUGAUAAGUUAUUUGGUUAUCACAUCAUUCCUGUUUUCUUGAUAUUUUACUUUUUAUCAUAGAUAAGAGUGAAAACUUCCUGUAGUAAUGGGGUAGCAAAGUGUUUCAAGAUAGAGGGAGAGUAUCUCUUAGAUCUUGUUUCAUUAACCAAGAUUGCUCUGUUCCUAAGAAAUUCUAAGAAAGGAUAUACGCCGUAUGUUAAUCUAUACAGACAGUUGAACUUUUCAGGAAAAAGAGACCUGGAAACUAAAACAGGUCAGUGGAGCUCAGUGGUAUAGAAAGGGUUAAGAUUGAAUUUUUUUUUUUAAACUUCAAAGAUGCCAAGACCAAGAAACAGUUUCUAAAAACCUUUAAAUAACAUUAAAUCACCCUAUGUCCCCUUAAAAUAACAAAACAAUUCUGUAAUUACAUUCCCAGUUCAGUGUGCCUUACUGUCUAAUGUAUAAUGAUCUUAUUAUUCUCUUCCAGAGUACCCUUUCUACCCAGCAUCAGUAUGAGUGACAAGACUCUUAGGCUGAUCAUAUAGUUUGUGAAACUAACCAAUAUUUUAAACAACAGUCACUCUGUAGGAGAAUAUAUGUACUUCUUUUAGACC
rnacentral:lncRNA from 1 species